rnacentral:rRNA from 1 species
ACGGGAGGCAGCAGCUAAGAAUAUUCCGCAAUGGACGAAAGUCUGACGGAGCGACGCCGCGUGGAUGAUGAAGGCCGGAAGGUUGUAAAAUCCUUUUGAAACCGAGGAAUAAGCCGUGCAGGGAAUGGCACGGUGGUGACUGUAAGUUUUGAAUAAGCAACGGCUAAUUACGUGCCAGCAGCCGCGGUAACACGUAAGUUGCGAGCGUUGUUCGGAAUUAUUGGGCGUAAAGGGCAUGUAGGCGGUUUUGCAAGCUUGGUGUGAAAUCCCGGAGCUCAACUCCGGAAUUGCGUUGAGAACUGCAUAACUAGAGUCACUGAGGGGCAAUCAGAAUUCCAGGUGUAGGGGUGAAAUCUGUAGAUAUCUGGAAGAAUACCAAUGGCGAAGGCAGGUUACCAGCAGAUGACUGACGCUGAGGUGCGAAGGUGCGGGGAGCAAACAGGAUUAGAUACCCUGGUA